GACGAACCGUGCGAGCGUUGUUCGGAAUCACUGGGCUUAAAGGGCGCGUAGGCGGUCAGGUCAGUCCCGUGUGAAAUCCCUCGGCUCAACUGAGGAACUGCACGGGAAACUACCUGGCUUGAGUUCUGGAGAGGGAAGCGGAAUUCCGGGUGCAGCGGUGAAAUGCGUAGAUAUCCGGAGGAACACCGGUGGCGAAGGCGGCUUCCUGGACCGACACUGACGCUGAGGCGCGAAAGCUAGGGGAGCAAACGGG
rnacentral:rRNA from 1 species